GACGGGGGGGCAAGGUGUUCUUCGGAAUGACUGGGCGUAAAGGGCACGUAGGCGGUGGAAUCGGGUUGAAAGAUGAAAGUCGCCAAAAAGUCGGGCGGAAUGCUCGUCGAAACCAAUUUCACUUGAGUGAGACAGAGGAGAGGUGGAAUUUCGUGUGUAGGGGUGAAAUCCGAUAAAUAUACGAAGGAACGCCAAAAGCGGAAGGCAGCUCUCU
rnacentral:rRNA from 1 species